rnacentral:lncRNA from 1 species
GGCCAAUCGUGCAUUCCCACUGCGGAAGAGCAGACACUUGGGGGGAACUUGAAGAAUGUUUGUGGGGAGCCCAGGCAGAGGCUUCCCCUGGUGGCUGCAGAAGCUGCAGAGAGAGGCUCAACAACCCAAACUAGCCGGGAUAAUGUCCAGCAUCCCAGCUUCACGUCUCCACCUUGGGGUAAUCUGUC